UAAAAGGGGGAUAAUCUUCAAUUCUAGCAUGUCCACGUCAGCAUAAAUAAUCCUCCAAUCAGAAUUGAAUGUUGUGCUAUGUCAGUGUUUGCCUUUUCCAAUCGAGCAUACCAACGAGAUUGCUUCGCCAUUUGAUGACCUUUCCCAUUUCUUUUUCUUAGCAGUUCUGUAUUAUCAACCCCAUCGAGCAAAUUGGAGAAAUACAUCGGCCGGUUAGUCGGGAAACAGUAAUCUAGGUCAAGAUUGAAACACUAAAAGACAAAGAUCAACAGGAUGCAAGGAGAAAUCGGUCAAGGGUGAAAAGACGAGGAAGCAUAGCUUCCGGCUCCAUUGAACACAGACGAUUUCAAGGGCAGGAUUUCGCCAUGCCGGUGUGUCCAAGACCGGCGUUGGAUCCAUCACCAGUUACCGCCAGAUCCGUCGACACCAUCUCACUCCCCGACAAUCAGACGAGCCUCCACCGCCCCGAUGACUAACCAGUCGCCGCCGUCAGUCUCCCAGUCGUCCUCAAUCCGGGAGAGCCACCGUUGGAGAACGAGCCACCAGAGCUUUCGAGCCCUCCUAUGAACCUCCGCACCAGAGAUCCUUUAGAUCCGCCAAGAUGGAAAGAGAGACAGCUUCAACGACAUCACCGAACGACCACUACUCCGUCACGUUGUUCAUAAUCCGAAGGGGAGGAGGCGCCAUAGAUCUUGCCACCUCCAAAACCCUAGACUGCGCCGCACAAGAGGAGAGAGCUAGAGAGACGCGCGUGAGUUUACUUGCCAAAUGAGCACAACAAAAACUCCGCUUCACUAGAUCUCAGCAGAGCAGGAGUAUUUUCGAGCAAACUCCAUCUCGACCAGUCUUUGGAAAUCAUUUCUCAGCAGAUGCACAUGCCGUGUGUUGCUGCUGAUUUUUGAGUUUGUAAUCAACCAAACACUAUGCCUUUCAUAUGUUCAUCUCUGCACUUCUUCAGGUCCCUUCCUUUUUUUUUAUUCUAGCAACUUAACUUCUACUGCAUCCUCUAAUAGUUUCAUUGUCCAUUCAAAAUAUUUUUUAUCUCAACUAUGUGAUAGCUUUGGCAUGUUAUUUAGACAAUUAGCCAGAUUUGUAUUGGAAGAUGAAGAUGCAGCCAAAAGGGGCCGACGGACUCCUUUUACCCUACAUGGAAACCAGAACUACAUAGAGAUCCCUACAGGCACUGUAUGCGGUGGUUGGGACAAUGUAUGGGGUAACUAACUUCUUCAAUGUUUCUUUGAAUACAGUGCUAUGCUCUCACAUAAAUUCGAAGAGUUCUUUAAUGUAUUGUUUGUUUACCAUGAAAGCAGUUGGUUAUGAUUGAAAAUACAAUUCAAGUUGUGCAGAGGCUCCUAUGCAGUUUGGGAUUUUCAAAUCCAGUCUCUUUUUUUUUUUUUAUCUUUCAUCACUCUCUCUCUUCACAUUUUGCUCAAUAAAAGGGAAAUGAAGUUGUCAGUGUUGUAAAUACAAUUCUGGUGGUAUAUUUAAGGUCAGAAUCUCUAUUUUGAGUGGGAUCUGAUGAAUGUGGGUAUCAUUCUCAUUUCUCUUCGCCGAGAAAGAUGACGUGGAGGCUGCUCUAGACUCCCGGUUAAGUCCAUAAGAUCAGUGAUGACAAAGCAUGGAAAACUAUAAAGAAAUCUGGUGCGGAGGGAUGAAGAAUACUCUAGAGCCCACGAUCUUGAAGUGGUGAAAUGGUUGUCGAGAAAUCCGUUCACUUCAAAUGGAUGCAACUGGAGAGAAUGAUCACGCUUAACAUGUCUGUCUUGAAAGAAGAUUACACAAAAUAGAAUGGCUUUGAGUUGACUUUGAGUUAAACAAUCUCGAGUUUGUUAGAGAAAUCUCAGUUUUUGAUCAGAGCAGCUAAGUUUGGCAAAGUUUUGUCAAAGAAUGGAAAGGCACAAAAGCUUGCUUUACAACACUCGCUUGAGGCGCAUAUUGACCCUUAGACAUUGGUAUGGACACAAUGUUUAUUUUUACUACAAGUUGCUCCGCUGUCAGAGUAGAGACCCCUUACUUCUACUGGUUUGAUAUUGACGAGGGGGAAGAAGUAAACCUUGUGGAGAAGUGUCCUCAGUUGAAACUUCUGCAACAGUGCAUCAAUCACAUUGGUCCGCUUCUAAGGUUGCUGUGGAAAACGGGAAAUUAUUCUACAAGAACAGUGGAGAAAUGCUUUAAACUUCUUCUAUGGAAGAUAGUGAUUCCAAAUGGAUUUGGUGCUCAACACAUCGACAGUGUUGUGCGUUGGGGAGAAGAAGGGUACGUUUCAACAUUCAAGCUUCUUAGCUGGAGGAGCAACUGUUGCUGCAUGAAGAUUUGUUAUUGAGAAUGGUGUUCUUAAAGGCUGCUUGGCCGUGGUCCUUGCUUGGUUGCAAGUUUUAAAAAUUUUAGUAUAGUAGAUCUUAUAAAAAGAUAGAUUAAAUUUUUUA